CCCCCAAAUCCCUAGCCCGCAGCGGCGAUGCACCUCCCCCUCACCUGCGUUGGCGACUCAGCCGCGUCGCUGCCCUUCUUCCCAAGCUUCGCCUCCUCGCAUUCUCGUCCGCGUCGCCUCCUCGCAUUCUCGUCCGCGUCGCCUCUUCCUCUCGCCCGCAUCCUCUGCAUCACGGUCGAGCCAAAGUUGGUUGUUUUAGCGAGGUCGAGUUGGAGCCUGACGAGCGCGGGCACGGCGGCCUUGUUCUGCUCGACGACGGCGGCGACGGACGCUGGCACUCCUCGUCGCCAUCGACCUGCAAGGAGGAGCGUCGUGUUGGACGCUGCCAUCCCAAACGCUGCUGGUGCUCCAUCGCUUCUACGAGUUCCUCGUCACCUGCUCCUAGGUCGCCCCCGAAGUCGAGCUCCCCACGCUCGACCUGCAAGAUGUACUGUGGCCAAGAACUGCUCUCUGCCGCGUGAGUAGAUUGGAAAGGCAAGGCGCAAGGAGCGAUUGGAAAGGCUGCUGCUGCUCCUGGACGAUGCAACUCCUGAUGCCACUACCUCUUGUCGAUUCGGGCAUGAGCACAUUCUUGGAGUGGAUCUGCAUUUCAAAUAGUUUACAAGUGGGAGUACAUGGAGUACUACAGAUUAAAUCGAGGAGAAGAUGGUCCCUGCUCCGUGAUGAUGCCGCUGUUACCUACGACUUCCCCAACCACCACCACCACGACUUCGUCGAACAUGACUGGGUGUCUG